rnacentral:lncRNA from 1 species
GCUUUCCAGCUGGCCAGCUUUCAACGUGUGCUGCUGCCUGGGGUUCUUCUGUCGUGGUUUAAGCCCAGCUCGUAACUCAGAACCACGCAGCUGCUUGCUUUCUCCUCCCCUUCUUCCCCCCCUGCCGGCUGCCGGAGGUAUGGGGAGGAGAAUCGAAAGAAUGUAAAUCCCAUGGGCUGAGAUAAGAACAGUCCAGUAACUAAGGUAUAAUACAAAACUACUACUGCUGCUACCAAUAAUAAUAAGGAUAAUGGAAAUAACAAGGGGAGAGCAUAUAAAACUAAAAGGGAAAGGGGAAAAAAGCCAGCAAUAAGCACAAGUGAUGCACAAUACAAUAGCACACCACCUAUUAAGCCGUCCCCUGAGGCUCCUUCCCAGCGUCACCGAUGGCGGGGUGGCUUCCUGGGGGGCUGGGAAGGAUCCUGGGAUCUGCUUGCCCUCCUCUUCGGGGCUCGCCAGGGCCUCCCAGGGCAGCGCUCAUUGCCCCGGCUGUGCGUGGAGGGCCCCAGCACCACCUCCACAGGCUCCUCCUGGGCCUCUUCUUGCUCCCGGCGGGUGGGAAUGGGGUCAGAAAGGGGGCUGCCACUACCCCCCCUAAGCACUAGGCUGGGGGCAGGAGACCCCCCUUGGGUGACAGCGGGACCAGGGGCCGCCGCAGAGCUGUCCUCCUGCCUCCCGGCAGCAUCGGCAUCCUCCAGGCUCAGGCGACGUCGGGCCUCCCCGCUGCAGCGGUGCACGAUGGUGUCAAUCAGCUGCUGGACAAAGGUCCUUGUGCGCCUCCCCAGGGAGCCCUGCAGCAGCUGGAUCAGAGCCCCCUCAUCCAGCCCGAAGUACCGCAGGCUGGAUGUGACAAGGCUCUGAGCGGCUGCUGCUUCCUGGACAUCCUCCAAGAGCUGUCCCAGCUCCUGCUGCAGCCAGGGCAGCAGGGGCUGGAGGACAGCGGGGUAGACACGGAAGAGGGAUGCCCAGACGUAGGCGUGGAAGCCGCCCACUGGAGCCAGGGCAGUGGCCCUGCCCCUGCU